rnacentral:rRNA from 1 species
AUUGAACGCUGGCGGCAGGCCUAACACAUGCAAGUCGAGCGAGCGGCGGACGGGGGCGUAAUGUCUGGGAAACUGCCUGAUGGAGGGGGAUAACUACUGGAAAAGGUAGCUAAUACCGCAUACCAUCAGAUGUGCCAAGAUGGGAUUAGCUAGUAGGUGGGGUAAUGGCUCACCAAGGCGACGAUCCCUAGCCGGCCUGAGAGGAUGACCUGCCACACUGGAACUGAGACACGGUCCAGACUCCUACGGGAGGCAGCAGUGGGGAAUAUUGCGCAAUGGGCGCAAGCCUGAUUCAGCCAUGCCGCGUGAGUGAAGAAGGCCUUCGGGUUGUAAAGCUCUUUCAGCGGGGAAGCGUUACCCACAGAGAAAGCACCGGCUAACUCCGUGCCAGCCGCCGCGGUAAUUC